rnacentral:rRNA from 1 species
AACGAACGCUGGCGGCAUGCCUAACACAUGCAAGUCGAACGAGACCUUAGGGUGUAGUGGCGCACGCGUGCGUAACGCGUGGGAACCUGCCCUUAUGCUCGGAAUAACUCCCCGACGGGGGUGCUAAUACCGGAUAACGUCUUCGGAUCCAAGAUUUAUCGACUUUGGAUGGGCCCGCGUUGGAUUAGCUAGUUGGUAGGGUAAAAGCCUACCAAGGCGACGCUACAUAGCGGGUCUGAGAGGAUGAUCAGCCACACUGGGACUGAGACACGGCCCAGACUCCUACGCGAGGCAGGAGUGGGGAAUAUAGGAAUAUGGGCGGAAGCAUGAUCCAGCAAGGCCGCGUGAGUGAUGAAGGCCUUAGGGUUGUAAAGCUCUUUUACCCGGGAUGAUAAUGACAGUACCGGGAGAAUAAGCUCCGGCUAACUCCGUG